UAUCUUGGGCGGACAAGGUUUCUUCGGCGGCUUGUGGAUUGGUACAUGCGGUGGUAAGACUAUCUUUGGCGGCGGCUUGUGGACUGGAACCGUCGGUGGGUCAACUUUCUUUGGCGGACAAGGCUUCUUUGGUGGUGGUUUGUGGACUGGCACCGGCGGGGGAAGCUCGGCCUUCGGAGGACAUGGCUUCUUUGGGAUANNNNNNNNNNNNNNNNNNNNNNNNNNNNNNNNNNNNNNNNNNNNNNNNNNNNNNNNNNNNNNNNNNNNNNNNNNNNNNNNNNNNNNNNNNNNNNNNNNNNNNNNNNNNNNNNNNNNNNNNNNNNNNNNNNNNNNNNNNNNNNNNNNNNNNNNNNNNNNNNNNNNNNNNNNNNNNNNNNNNNNNNNNNNNNNNNNNNNNNNNNNNNNNNNNNNNNNNNNNNNNNNNNNNNNNNNNNNNNNNNNNNNNNNNNNUGGAGGACAUGGCUUCUUAGGGGUCGGCGGUGGAAGCUCUACCUUCGGCGGUGGGUCGUGAACUGGUACAGGAGGUGGGUGCUCAAUCUUCGGAGGUUUAGGUGGACAAGGCUUCUUAGUAAUCGGCGGUGGAAGUUCCACCUUUGGUGGUGGCUCGUGAACGGGGACAGGGGGUGGAACCUCUUCCUUUGGCGGUGGCUCGUAGACCGGAACCGGAGGAGGAACCUCCUCGGGAGGGCUGUAUUUAGGUGGACAGGGUAUCUUGAAUUUAGGAAAAGGUGGAAGUACCAAAGGCGGAUGAUCAAAGCCCUUGAAAGGAGGUAACUUAGGCAUAGGCCAGAAGAACUUGGAAACGCAAAUUUCGGGUGAAAACUUGAGGUUUUGUUUGAGACCCAAAACGUGUUUAUCCACGGACUUGGAUAAAAACACAAUCUUGGUGGAUUCAAGGCCGUCGUGAGCUGGACAAGGGGUACCCUUAGCGCUGUGAAGCUGAGCGUAACACUCCUCCUUUAAAGUUCCGUCGUCGGAGACAAUGUCAUGAGGAAUAGUCAGGCCAAACUUUCCUUUAUCGUCAAUGUUUCCGGAACCUUUUGUAACAAAAUGGCCUUUAUUCACCUUACAGUCGAUCGUCACUCGUAGUCCUGUAUAGCAAAUGAUCUUAAUUAAUUAUCAUACACAUUUAAUUUGAUCAAACAUUAUAAAAGUUAGUAAUGAAUGUGGGUUAUAUAUUAUGAAGUUGCCUGAAAAUGCAUGGGGGCUUUUGAUCUUGCUCUCGGCGUAACCGACAACCUCGACGACACGAGCGAGUGAGAGAGUCGCUGAAGUGAAGAGAAUAGACACGAGAAGGAGGAGGCAGAAGGGAACCGAACCUCGAGGUUCGGGUAAGAUCCUCAUUGGGAUUAUCACCCUCUGAGAUCUCUGACACACUUGUCUUUCGCUUGCUGAAAAUACUAAGUUUAUUUAUAAAAGAAGAAAGAAACUAUAUGAUAUAUAUGAAGAGUCUUUAUUUAGUGGAGAAGGUGGUGAUAUGUGUUUAUACCGAGACUUCCCCUCGUUUAUAUAAUGGUCUUAGCAAAGAUUUUAUAUUUCGAAGAUGGGAUCUUAAUUACUAUUACUUGCUAAAUUUUGUUACCAACAAUAAUUGGAUUCAGCGAUUUUCUGAUAUAUUGUAUCAUAUAUUAAAUGUCCAUGGUCCAUCUUAUCGUUGUUAAUUUAGUCUAUAGGAGGCACUUUAUGAUAUUUUUCAUGCAGGGGUGGUUGAAACCUAUUGACUUUUGUUUGAUUUCCUUAAUACGACAACGGCAUUCAAAAUUCACUCUCUUUUUAUUUUUGUUUCCCUCAUCAACGUUAUUGCACGAGACACAUGCGUACAACUUUUGCCACAAGGAUUCCGCAAAUGUAUAUGUUUAAUUUUUUAUUGUUAGAAAUUGCAAGAUGAGCAUGCAUACAUUGUAACUCUUUUUUUUUUUUUUUUUUUUUUUNNNNNNNNNNNNNNNNNNNNNNNNNNNNNNNNNGAGAGAGAGAGAGAUAGAAAGAAAGACAAAUGAUUUUUAAAAAGUGCGUGCAUACGCGCCACCAAACGGAAAUUGAAUUGAAGCGAAUCACCACAAUAUGGUUAGAAGAAGAGAAACUUAACUGUUUAUGGAAAGAAAAGGAAAAAAAGAUAGUCACACACUCACACUACUUGUCGGCUUGUGGUUCUUAAUUUGCCCCCUCCUCACUAAUUAUCUUUUUACCGAGAAGUCAUUAAUACCGCCAUGCUAACAAAAAUUUAUUCUUAAAUCUUUAUAAAUAGUACAUGUACACAUUUAUGUACGACAUGGAACCAUAUAUGCUUAUACUACUUGUUUUUAACCAACGAACCGUGAAACCAAAUCAAGCAAUGAACUAACGAAAUCGGUCAGAGAAGCUUGAUUUUAUUAUUGGCAUUAUUGGUUAGCGGAGAUAGAAGUUAAUACUAUCUCUCAUCAAUCCACUUCGACUUUGAAGUUGGCAAGGCCCUUCUCAAUCAAUGCAGCCAGCUCAAAAGCCUUACUACUAUUUCUUCAUCUUUCUUCAUUUUCUUUUGGGUGAAAUUUUUAUAUAUGCGUAACGUUAAAAUAAUAUGAACUCUCCUUUUCUUCGAAAAUAAAAACAAGAGACGACUAAGAACACAUGCAAAACAUAGCAACUUGGUGACAAGCAAGAAUGCAUAUAUAUAUAUAUAUAUAUCACUUUGAUGACUAUAUACAAAAAGAAAAAAGAAAAACAGCACGUAAGUAUAAAAUUGAUGCAUAAUUACGAAUAUUUGAUGACGCAAAGUCGACAUGUGUGCAUGCAAUUAGCUAAUCCGACUUUCAAAUUGAGAGACGUGACGUGAUUACUGAUUGUAGUCCGGUUUGCGUUUUAGGUGUUACAAUCUUACAACGCGAACUAGUAUAAAAAUGGAGGAUACAUACAUUGUUUGUUUCUUCUUCUUUUUUGUUUGUUUUUGUUUUAAAUGGUAAUAUGGUUAGUCAAAUUAUAUAUGUAUAAAGAGAUAUCUCAUCAUGAUCAUUAUGUCCAUUGCCAUUGCCAUAUUAAAGAUCUACCUACUCAUCCACGCCCAUUAAUAGGAUGGCUUUGGACAGUUGUAUAUAUAAUAAGAGGCUGAAGUUGAAAGUCAUUAUACAAUAUUCAUCUUCCGGUAUAAUCAUCUUCACAAGAAAAAAAGAAAUACUUGCUUACUGUACGUACACAUGAAGAGAUUAUCCAUCACCAACCAUAAGUCCCAUUCUAUUAUAUAUCAAAACAUGUAAUAAAUAGCGUAUUUGUGUAGAUGGCGAGUGUGUAGAUGUUGGUUAUUUGUAUAGUCGAUCCGGGUCACUAAUUAAUGUGUAGAUGUUGGUUACUUUAUUAUAUAAGACUGUUAAUUUACGCAACAUAUAGAACUUCACUUUUUUUCUUAUAUUUUGCAUUUGGUUUAUAGACACUCGUAUAAUGUAUAGUAUUAUAAUUUAGUUGAAUUAAUAUGCGUCAUUUUUAUAAGGAAAACACACAGUUACCAAAAAAAAAAAGUUACGUACUAAUCUUUACGUAAAUACGAAAAUGAUUUCUUCUACGUUUAAAGUUAUAAUCACAGUGAGAAGAGAACCGAAAUGUUAUAAUAUUUAAUAUGAAGAAAACAAGUUCAUAUUUGAGUUAAAACCUGUCAAUGUAAUACAGAUUCAAAAAUAUAGCAGAAAGAGCACACAAUCGACUUUUAGUAAGGAUGGAAUUAUAAUAAUAUUCAAAACAUGUAAUCGACGUUAAAAAGAUUUACCACUAGAAAUUAACAAUGAUAGACAUAUAUAUAUUAACAAAACCUAUCUUAGGUAGCAAUAAAUAUAUCCACAUGUAGAAAAUUAAUAAAGGAGCUAAUAUUGGGGGCAACAAGGAACAUAGUCCCACAUGGUGCGAGUUUUGCGAUAUUAUUGUAUGUUAGGUGACGUGCGAUAAAUAUGUGAACUGUAUAAUGGUUCCACAUUGAUAUUAAAUCAAAAUUUGUUUUCAUGUAUCCAUAGAAAUGAGACGUACUUAAAAUAUCCCGACUGAUCGAGAUCUGGAUGUUGACAUAUUCUCUGAUCUGAUGAGCAUACAUACAACUGCAUUGUUCAUAUAAACUUCCAGUCGCAGAGAUGUAUUGAAUGUAAAAAGGACCCAUCCAUGAUAUUGGACGAAAAGAUUUUUACUAUUUGUACAAGUAAAACUACAAAAAGGUUGUUGUUAUGCUGUCCAAAUUGGUAUACGGAUUGAGCGAUCGGAUUGUUUUGCAAUGAAGUAAAAUUUUGAACAAACAAAAAAUCAGCUCUAAUUAACAAAGUAGGUCAAUAUGUGGACACAUCUCCCAUCGGUAAGUUAGUUUAUCAAUUGGGUGCAAACUCGAAUGCAUUCCCAAAUCGAAGCUAUACAUAACUAAGAGACAAUAUGAGCCUUUGCCAAAUAUUGUAUUUCUAUGCGACAAUCAAACUUUUUUCCCCUAUUCAAAAAUAAAUUGGUAUUUCUUAGAAGUUAUAACUAUAAUUGUUCCCUUUUUAAAAAUAAAUUUGUAGUUACGGAUUGCAAGAUUUGUCCUCGUUUAUUAUUAUAUAUUUUUUUGUAAUAUUGAAAACUUUUUUUUUUUAAUUUAACUUUAUAUACUGUGAGAAGAACUUCACAUUAUAAAUAACACAAACGAACAUAACAUAUUUAUCAGCGCAUAUAUAAUACUAUAAUUCAGUAAUGUGAGGAAAACUAAUUCCCACCGAAAAAAAUGCGAGGAAAACUAAUUAUGUCCGUUAUUCAAAACCCUCCGACUCUGCUAGAGUCAUAGAUAAGACAUUAUCAUCGUGAAAGUCUUUUUAUUUAUUUUUAGUCAUAGUCUCCUCAUAGAUAAGAUAAGUCAAACAUUGAAAAAUUUCGAGCAAAGUAACUGGGCCUGUUGAUAUCACAAAUUGGGCCGGAUAUAUACUUAACGGUCCACAGAAGGAUGUGGAACGGGUAAUUUAGUAAAAUUAGGGCAAGUCAACCACCAAAACCAGACUUUUGAAGUUAAUCUCUCUCGAUCAUAAAAAAAGAAGAAGAAAAAGUUACCUUUUUUCACUUUGCCGAGGAAAUCAGAGAGAGAAGAGGAAGAAGAAGAAAAGCGAAAAACAUGAAGGCGACGACGAAGACUCCGAUCCACGCGGUGUGGUCAUGGGUCAGGAGGCAACCUCCGAAGGUGAAGGCUUUUCUCUCCGUGGUCACUGGCAUGGCGGCUUUAGUUCUUCUCAGAUUCAUUGUUCACGAUCACGACAAUCUCUUUGUUGCCGCUGAGGCUGUUCAUUCCAUCGGGAUCUGUGUCCUCAUCUACAAACUCAUGAAGGAGAAGACCUGCGCCGGUACUAUUCUUUUCUUUUCUUCACAUCCAAUUCAAUUUUAGGGUUUUUCAACUCAGUACUACCCCCUCUGCUUCUGUAUUCGUCUCCGCUCCUAGCAAUAUUACUUGUCUACGCCACAACUCUCUUGUUUAUUUCUCAUAUGAUCAGUAAUUCAUUGGGUUCACACUAAUAGCAAUUUACGGUUUUAAGAUGCCUUUUUCUUUUUUAAUGCGAAACCACCUCAAAAACAUGUUGCAGGAUUGUCACUGAAGUCUCAGGAGCUUACGGCAUUAUUUCUAGCUGUUAGGUUGUAUUGCAGCUUCGUCAUGGAAUAUGAUAUACAUACCAUUCUGGACUUGGCUACUUUGGGAACAACCCUCUGGGUUAUAUUUAUGAUCCGUUUUAAGCUAAGAGCUAGUUACAUGGAGGACAAAGAUAACUUUGCUCUCUAUUAUGUGGUAAGCCUAUCUGCUUGUGUUGUUAAAAGAGUUUUUUUUUUUGCUUUGCAGUAACGAUGACGUGGUUUUAAUAUUUGCAGCUUGUGCCCUGUGUUGUGUUAGCUGUGUUGAUCCAUCCAUCGACCUCCCAUAACAUAUUAAACAGGAUUUCGUGGGCAUUAUGCGUAUACCUUGAAGCUGUUUCAGUUCUGCCUCAGCUUCGAGUGAUGCAGAACACAAAGGUCACUACUUUUUUUCACAAUGAUAAGUGGAGAACUAAACAGGACACAUUUGUUUUACUCUCUUAGCAUCUAUUUGGUUGUUUCAGAUUGUUGAACCGUUCACGGCUCAUUAUGUUUUUGCACUUGGAGUAGCAAGGUUCCUUAGCUGUGCUCACUGGGUUUUACAGGUUAGUUUUGAUCCAAUAUCAGUUCAUAUACAUCAAUACAUUGUAUGUCAAAUUCAAAUGCUGAAAGUGGUCUAGUACAAUGUCUAAUGUGUCAAAAUCAGGUUGUAGACACACGAGGACGAUUGCUUGUAGCAUUGGGUUAUGGAUUGUGGCCAUCAAUGGUUCUGAUCUCAGAAAUUGUUCAAACAUUCAUCUUGGCAGAUUUCUGUUACUACUACGUCAAAAGGUACACGAUUAGACCUUCAGUUCAACGUUUUUAGCUCUUUAUACAACUCUAAAAUUUCAAUCUAUUUCUUCUGCAGCGUUUUCGGAGGACAGCUUGUUCUGCGGCUUCCAUCUGGAGUAGUAUAAGUCAAAAAGAUAGAUUUACUCCAAUGAUGUCCGAUGAGCUUGCCAGAAAUUAUAAUCAGAAAAGAGAGCUCAAUUUUUUUCUUCACCUCUGAUUUCACCGUUUUGUGUCUUGAGGUUGAACAAGUGACUCUCACUCGGUAACGGAUUAAUUUUACUGUGUUGUAUAUUCUUGACUAUGAAUGAAAGGAUUUUAUGUCUGUCCGGUCGACAAGUUAUGUUUAGUCAAACUGACAUUUUCUUAACUCGGGUCUUUCGAAAACAAACUACUGUAAUAUUUUGAUAACAACUAAAAGCCAGGACGUCUUAAAAUUUGAAUUGUAUUAUCGAGUAAUAUAAUCACCAGGAAUCAGUAAAACUGCAACAUAGGACGCAGAAUGCAUUUCAAACAAAAAAUGACGGUUGACAAAAGGAGAAAACAAAAAGUUAAAGGUCUGAAAGGUUUUUCCCGUUGAUGAAGUUGAUCACUCUAGUGGCAGUUUCUUCUAGUGCAGCGGUCACAACUGACAAGUUCAGCAAGAACUCUUCUGCCGUAGGUUUAUCUCCGUCCACUAGAUCAGUAACAGCUUUGAGGAAUAUGACUGGUACUUUGAGAAGAUCAGCCACGUAUGCUACAGCAGCACCCUGAAGAAUCCAGAGAGCCAGAUUAGUUUCAACACAACAAAGUAAAUUGAUUUUCUUGCUAUAUUCAGUAAUUCAGAGUUGUUAACAUGACACUACCUCCAUGUCUUUUAGCGUAGCAUCAUUGGCAAUGAUGAGUGACUCAUCUUGCGUGGACAUAUCCAACGAGUCACCAGUAGAUAACCUGCCAAUCUGAAACACCCCAUUAUCUGUGAAAAACUGAAAUAGUUAACCGAGCCAAGCUGCAUCUUGAGUCUACUAAAUACCUUCAUACUGAGUUCCUUGAGGAGAUUGGGUGUCGAGAAUGCCUGACGAAGGCCAACUCCAUACAGAUCAAACAUCUGAAGAGAUACAAAAACAUUGCUCAGAAACUGGCAAGAUGAAGCGGGGAAAAAGGAAUCGCUAGAGAUGGGAAAGAAAAAAAAAUGACCGGGAUAGGUAUUCUUCUAUCAUGGAAGACAACAUCAGAAACCAGGAAUACAUCACCAAUGUUGGCUCCUUUAACCUGCAAUGCUCAGCCAGUCAGCACUUUAGUUACAUGAAAACAAACCAAUUUCCACUAAAUGAAAGAUGUUCAUGAUAGCAACUCAAAUUUAAACAGAAUAUUUCACAGAUUGAAGCCAGUAAAUGAGUAACUAAAUCAAAAUCAAAAUAUGAUAAAGUAUGGUAUUCAGAAAGAGGAUGCCGGAAGAGAAGAUAAAGUACAUAUUGAGAAGGAAACAAAGUACCUUGAAGCCACCGCAGGUUCCGGCAUUGACAAUAAUGUCAGGUUGUAAUGCUUGGAUAGAAGCAAAAGUAAUGAGAGAAGCAGGAACAGUUCCGACACUAUCAAUCCCUGGAGAGAAAUAUCAGUUAGUUAAAGAAGAAAGCUGUAGCAUAAGCAAACACAAAUAUCAAGCUCGUUCGUUCAAUCAAACGCGUAACAUAGAAGAAGCUGAAAAGCUAGGUAGCAACGCACAGACUUGAAAGCAACCAUGAAAGAGAAAAACCUCCAGAGAUUUAGAGUAAGCAAAUAGAAAGAAAGAUGAGAGGUAAGAAAAGCAAAAGUGACCUAAGGCUGCAUCUCUUCCGGGGCAAACUACAUUGAUUCGAAGAUCAUUAUGCACGCCGUGAUACAGGACCCAGGGCAGCCCUUUACCAAGCCUGCGAUAUCAAUUAUCAUCAUCCAAAAUGUUUAAGUGAGAGAUCAAAUGCAAACAAAAAGCAGAAUCAGUAAUCGUAAAAGAAGAGCUCUUAACGGAGAAUCAGUAGCUUCAGAGAGUCCGAACUUGUUGACCAAAGGUAGAGCCUCCGCUUGCAUAGCUGCAGCUCCAUCGGAAGAAAUAAUAAAAAUAAAAAAAAGGGUAAGAAGAAGAAGAAAUCUCGAUCGAUUCGGAAGGGCCAGAAACGAGAGAUGUGGAAAGAGUAAAGUACCGAUGACGAAGACGACCGUGGAAAUGGGUCGAGUAGAAUCCGAUUGAGCAGGCAGAGGUAUGCCCAUGUCACUUGAUCCAUCUCCAUGAGGAGGAGCCAUACCUUCCCCUCUCUUUCCGAUUUUGAUUCCCCAGGAAAAAUCUGAGAAUCGGGAAGAAACGGCAGGAAACUCCGGUGAAUGAAUUACUUUUAUGGGAUUCCCUUCUUUUCUUUUCUUUGGACCCCUUUUGGUUUUUUUUUGGUUCUCUUUCUUUUGCCUUUCCAACUUCUUCAUUGUAUAAACUUAUAAUAAAAAUACAAUUAUUUUGUGAUAAUGACCAUAAUUAAUUAAAUUGGAAGGAUGAUCGAUCAUACGACUACAACUUCUGCUAAACAACUAGUAGAAUCUGUUGUUGUAAUCCAAAUUCUUCACCAUGUUUAUUUCCCACUUUAAUAGCUUUCAGAUAUCAUUAACAUACAAAAUAAAUAAAACGCAGAGUAAAAAACAUUAUGCAUUCCAUAAGAUAAUUAAAAAGAAAAAGAAAAAGCAUGAAAGCAUAUAGAUCACCACACCCACCACAAGAGGAAACCCCAAACUUUCAAUCUGUUCACAAGAAACCUCCCCCCCAUUUUCUUUUUUCUUCAGUGGGUUAAACUAGAGAGCGAAUGGGGUGGCUUUUCUUAUAUAUCCGAUAGCAAAUAAGGUUUUCCUCGUUUAUCUAAAACUUGGAGGGGGUAAAGUUAAGUAAACACUCUUAAACCAUCAUUUUCUUUCCCGUGUAAACACUCCACUAUGAUUAAUUUGAAGGCUCCUCCUCUGUUUGUGCCGGCAGUAAGGUAGCCGAGGUGAGCGGCUCGUGAACCACCGAGUUUGAUGAAACCGAUAUCGGAUUACCCUCUAGCUGCAACAUUAUACUUCCCAAUAUCUCCGCCAUUGUUUUCUUAAACUCUUCUUCCUUCACCAUCUUUCCAUCAUCCCCAUUCACCAUCUUCAACGCUUCCAUUAUCAUAUUGUCCAUCUUACAAUUCAAACAAACUUUUACUUAUCAACAUCCUUGAAACAAAAAAAUGUACUCCACUAAAAACAAAUACUACAGAAUUGAAUAACAUAUAGAUAUAUUAAGACGACAUUGUUUACCUGGGACACAGCGCCUAUUGGUGGUAAUGUAGCCGAUGGUGCAACUGUAUCCAGCACAGCUCGCAGAUACUCUUUAGACACCUUACCGUGACGGUCUUUUGGAAUUGUCUCCAUGGCAACGUUUAGUGCCUGCCACCAAAAACGUUCCUUAUAUAUCGUGACUUAUCAUUUAAUUUUCAAAGUGUUGCCUUCUCGUCGCAUCUAAGCUACAAGUAACAUACAUGACUAUAUGCAUGAAAGAUAUUACCUUAUCAAACUCGAAUUUAUUGGACAAGAGCCUCCUGACGCCGUUCCCAUCGAAAGUGUUUUCGCUGUGAGCCACAAUCACGGGCUGUUCAUUGAGACGUUGAGCCACUUUCUCCACGACUCUCUUAAAUGCUUCCAAGAAUCUCUCCUGAGACGCAGUCUUCUCCCUCUUAUCUUCUUCAUCAAGACAAGAGUCGACUAUUGGUUCUACUAUGUUGCUCAGUACCUAAAACAACAACUUUGAGUUUUAAGACUCACUGAUCCCUACAGCAACAUAUACCAUAAAAAAAACUUGGACACAAAUAUAGUUCAAUAGUUUAUUGGCUUUUUUUACAUAUGACAAUUGUGUAUUUUAAUAAGACUUUCUACGUAUAACUGAGAUAUUUAUAUAUUGCUUUCUACACAAAUGAAAAACUGAUCUGACCGAGUUACCUAUGCAAAACAAGUUAGACUUAUAUGCUUUAUAAUUAUAUAUCUAUACUAUUAAUUACGAUUGUAAAGUAUGUACUUCACGCCAAGAAAAUCCAAAUCAGAAUUUUUUUAUAUAUAUAACAGUAAAAUAAUUGCUAAAAACUAGCUUCAUCUAAGAAACAAGAUAUAUAGAAAAGUAGAUUUCAAAAGAAGAAAAAAAAAAAAGAUAAAGUGAAGUUAUAAAUUACCCAAGGAUCGUUGGGAGGCAUUCCAUGAUCAACAGAAAGAGACUGGAGAGCUUUGACAAUACAGUCACGGAGCGAUGCGUCAUCGCAAGUAGAGAGCUCUGAGUAGAUAGAGACUAUCUCGGUUUCGUAUCCAGGACCGUGAACAAACUCAGAGAGAUCCUCACCGUCCAUCCUGAGGAUGACGAUAGGAUCACGUUUCAGACCAGCAGCCAUACCCAACAAAAUGUCCGACAACACUUCUUUGAACUCGGUUUUGCUCACUUUCUCUUGACUUCCAUGAGUGAAUUCGUUUAAGACCUGUAAUAUCGUGGUGUUUAUUAUUAUAACGUUACAAACGAUGAAAAAAAUAAAUGUACGGAGGAGACAGAUAGAAGGUUGUUGGUUUUAUCUCGUUGUCAUCUUCUUUAAAUACACCCAAAAAUAAAAACAAAACCUAGCUAACGAUAAGUAAUUAAUGGAUACUGAUUUGUAACCAAUGAGAGUAAGAUUCGUAUCCGAAUAUAUUUACUUCCUGUUCUUGGAUAGUUUUUCAACGAGAGUAUCUCUAAAUUAAUUAAUUACUAGGAUUGAUAUCAUCUUGGUUUGAUCAAUUAAUCCACGUGAAUCAUGCGAAACAACACGACGUGAUUUUGGGGUUUCCACGUAGACUAGGUAAAAACAAUUACUACUACUUGUUUUGUGGUUCACACUAAUAGAGUUUUGGGAUAUCUUUUUAUUUGAUUGUUUGAAAAAAUAAGGGAUGGUGGUUGAUCUCAUCUCGUCAUAUACGGACUGUAUAGGGUUUUCAAAAGAAAAAUGUAAUGUGCGAUAUGAUGACGGAAAAAAGGUUCAAGAAAGUCUAGAGCAAAGAUGGCGACGCCGGCUAAACGCUUUAUAAAAGAUAAAGCUUUUGUUAUACAUUGAAGGCUAAAACAUUAGAUUAAAUAACGUUCACACAGUAACAAAAUUAAGUAGGUGAGGAUUCAUAAAGUGAUGUUUCGAGCGAGUUUGAAACGACAGCGGGAAGAGCGACACGAGGGGCUAUUUUUUGAGAUAUGGUAAGAGCCAAGAGGAUAAGGUCACCGACCAAAGCUAUUGUCAGUUUUUUUUAAAAACAAAUGGUUUAUUAUUUUGAUCUAUUUUACUCUUAAUUAACGCAAAACAUAACAAUGAAGAAGAAAGUAUAUAUAUCAUCCACCACGUAAGUAUCAAGAAGAUAACAUAAACAACUAUAGUAAAAUGUUGAGAUUCUCUUUUCUUUUCUUUUUUAUAACUUUGUCAGUAUUUAUAAUUAUAGUCAUUCCAUGUUUUAUUAUUUUCUUAUGACUACUAUGGCCUUUUGAAGUUCAUACAAAAUCUAUGCACAAAGUGCCGAGAGGUUCAACUCCAUCUCAUAAUCAAAGAAAAUUUUACGGCAUAGACUCCAGCAUGAAUAAAUUUUGUAUAAAAAUAUUUGUUUACAACUACAACUAAAAAGCAUCAUCUAUAUAUUUUAUAACUUAUAACCUUUUUGUUUUUAACCUUGUCAGUAAAGAUCAGUAAUAUAGCUAGGGAUACUGAUUAGAGGAAAAUGCUAACGUAAAUGCAAAUUAGCCGGACCAUAUAUAUCACGAAUAUAGAAAAGGUAGUGUUGAGAAAGAAGAAAAGAAGAUUACCUCGGAGUAGAUGUGAUCGGAAUCAGGGGAAGUGCCCUGAGCAGGCAAACCAAGAGCAGCGCCGAUAUCAGCAACGGCGGGUUGUAACUCAGUCACGGAGAGCUUACCAUCUUCGUCCUGGUCUAACUGUUGAAACUUUUGUUCCACAAACUUGUCGAACACUCUCUCGUUUUCCACCAGCUCAACUAUGUCCGAGCCAUCAAGUACUUGUUGCUGUUGCUGGUGGUUGUUGCUUUUCAUGUCCAUUUAUGGAAUCUUCACUUCUUCUUUCUUUCUCUUUACUUUCUUUUUAGUCCCGAGAGUCUUGUGACAGAUCUCGUGAUAGAAGCACGAGAAAAGGAAGAACAGAUACUUGACACACCCAAAAAAAAAGAGUUUUCUCUUCUUCUCUUUUUCUUUAACUCCCAAGUGUGUGUGUGUAAUGUUGUGGUUUGGUUCGGACUGCCUGUAUUCUUUAUAUGUGAUAUAGCGAUCAGAAAAAGAAAAAAAAAAAUGAGUUGUAUAAUCGCAAAAUCUUCAAACUAAAUUUAUUUACGGUAUUUAAUUAUCAAUUUAAUUAUAUAAUUUCAGUUCAUUUUAAAAACUUGUGGACUCGGCACCACCAAACGUAUAUUAACCAUAUGUCCAUAGCUAGACUAUUUCUUUGAAAGUAUAUUGUCUUUCUUUUUUAUUUCCCCACCUAACAUUACUAAAUUUAAUCAUCUCAUAAAGCGUAGGCUAAUAUAAUAAUAAUCCCUUCAAUGAACUUCCUUUCGCAUUUGUCCAUAUUUUUGUAACACGACCGCAUCUUUUCCUUUGAUUAUACAGAGAGACAAUGGCGAAGUAAGUAAAUCACAACUUCUUCUUAAUGAAAUAUAUAUUUUAAUUUUAACUAUAUAACUAUAUUAUGUUGGUAUUGAGAUGUAACAACAUUUGGCGCUUAUCUUUCAAACUCGACAUUUAAACCAGAUUACCUGAAUAGUAUAUUCAAACAUUUAUCCAUCCUCUGCCCUAAAUGAAACUAUUAUAUCUAGCUCACUAUUUGAAUGAGAACUCACUUACGUAACCAUUAGGUUUGAUAUUUGGCUUCAGUAACCGACAAGAACAUCAUAAACGACACGAUGUUUAGUCAUAAUGCCUGUGUCUUUUUAUCAAAUUGCCGGUUCCUUUUUAAUAUCUUUUUCAGACUAAUCUUUGGGAUCUUAUGAAUUUAUUUUUCGACUACUUGUAAUUAGUGACAUAAAGAACACUUCCAAAAAUCAUUAAAUUACACGAUCGUGACGGAUUAUAAAUAGAGAGACCGACGAACUAAGCAAACCCUCAGAAAGCAGAAGUUAAACAUCGAACAAUUUCGACCACUUAAUCUAAGUAUGUGUGGUCCGUACCGUAUGACACGGGCAAUAUCACUUGUGUGAAUGAAUACACGCCGGCCUAAUUAUUAUUAUUAUUAUUCGGAUUUUAGGAAAAAUGGAUAUAUAUAUAUUAGUAACCGAGUCGUCAUAUAUAAUUAUAGUUUUUCCAUAAAAUACAAGUAAUAAGCCAUAUAUGGAUCUAAAUAUAUUCUGACAAGAGCUUCUCACCCCCUUGAUCAGUGAUGACGUGGUCGUCGUCGGUGAAAAGUCGUGGGGACACUUGGUGAUAAAAUAAGGCUGGUGUGUUAGUCCGUCAUUGGUCGGCGCCUCUGUGCUGGCGUGAGCUUAAUCCAAAGUCAAAGCCGGCCUGCUAUAGUGCGGCUAUCUAUGGAUUAUGGCGGUUCAUUUCUUAUAAAUUAGUACAAAACUUGAUACUACUUGCGUUUCGAACAUAACUUUUGUUUCAGAAUUUAAGCUUUUGCCGACGCAUAAAAUAUUUAACUUGUUAUUUAAUCCAGGUAUUUUUUUUAAAAAAUAUAUCAGCGUAGAUAGAAAAGUUAAGCAUUGACAAAAAGAGAAAAAAUAUAAUAUGUCUUUUAUAUAACAGAAACAAAAAAAAAUUCGAGUUAUUUACAUGGGCGUUCUUUUGUAGAUGUAGAUAUAUACCUAAAAGUUAGAAGCGACGAGGAGUUGUUGGCAAUUCACUCUCCAGUCUCCUCCUCAAUGUAGGAUAGAUUCAAUGAUAAUCUUAACAAGAAAACAAAAAUGCAAAAGGACGAAAUCCCUAUAACAUCUUUCUUUUCUGGUACAAACUACAACAAAAAGUGACUAUGCCAAUAUAUCCUUUACUAAAGAAAGACGAAAAGAGAUCUCGAGAGAUCCUAACUCUACAUUUAAAAAUUUAUUACACGUUCAAAUUAAAAAAAAAUAUAUGGGGUAUUUUUUGGGAUUUUUCUCGUUAAUCUAUACCUUUAGGUGAAAUAUUUAAGUUUUUGCUGUCUAUCCAACUUUUCUUGUAUGAUUGAUUUAAACUACUUCGAGGAUGAUUAUGAAAAGAAGAAGGCAAAACAAACGUUAUUUCGUUUUCUUAUCAUUUCGAUCCUGGUAAACACAUUGGGCUCAUGCCAUAUUAUAUUGAAUGAUUUAGCCUCUUUUUUUCGGUUCAAAUUGAAUUAUUGGGCUUUAUCCAGAUAAAUUUUGAUUUAUGACCAAUAACUUAAGAAGAAACGGUAUUGGCUUAUUCAGGAUGGCUGUCGAUCUGAUAUUGGAUAUUAAGGCCCAAGAAUCCAAUAUGGUGCAACCCGUGAUAUUGGAGAGCAGUGAUCGCCAUGCUGUUUUGCUGAAAACGAGAGAUACAUCGUGUUGUUUUAAUUGGUUGCAACCGCGAACGAACGGGUUAGUUAAAGAAAAUGAUAGAUCCCAUAAAAUAAAAAAGAGAAAGGCCACACAGUUUACCUUUGGUGCAACAUUGUAGAGUUGAAAAUUAAACGACACGUUGUUUGGAUCGUGAAAACGGCGGGACCUGUUUUUUUUCCUUUUUUUUUGUCUUCUCAACAACUUGGAGGACAAUGCCCUCGCGGCUUUAUACGAAUUACGAAGGGUUGUUAAGCAGAUGGAUUAUGUUAGCCACUUGGCUACUUGACUUGACUUAAUCAGUGACAUCGACCUUUCAGGUGCUGUGUAGGUACGUAACAUGAGGUCCCACGUACAUUAUCUAUAUAUCAUUCUAAAGAGAUGUAUCUGCUCGCGCCAUCGACAAUCUCAUGUCAAGUUCGCUCGAAGUUGUUGUUAGUCUUCUAGUGACAUGAUUGAGUUUUUUUCUUUUCAAAUAAGAUAUCUAUAGUAAUUCAACGAUCUCAUCAGCUUAACACCUCCAAGACAGAGUCAUGUGAGUUCUUUCUUCUACAUGUCCCACUCUUGUAUAAGAAGCCCACGGUUUCUAUCAAACCAAAUGGAAUUGGUUGGUAUAUAUAUUUCAUUGUUUUGAUCAUCAUCAUAUCCUAUCCAAAGCAAAACAACUUCUUCAGCCAUAACCAAAUAAGCUAAACGAGAACUCCAAGCUGAAUUAAUAUUUUUUUUCCAAGAUCCAUCAGCAGAAGAAAUGGGCGUGUUCCGAGGACUUAUGGGUGCAAAGAAGAUCUUUCAAGGCCGAUCAAUGGGAGCUUCAACACCAAAAGGGUUUCUUGCAGUGUAUGUUGGGGAAAGCCAGAUGCAAAGAUACAUAGUGCCAGUCUCGUACUUGAGCCAGCCUUCAUUCCAAGCUUUGUUGAGUAAAUCGGAACAAGAGUUUGGGUUUGACCAUCCAAUGGGCGGCUUGACCAUCCCUUGUCCCCAAGAAACUUUUAUCACUGUCACUUCUCAGCUUCAUUAGUUCCAGUUCACAAAGAUCACAUACAUAUAUGUAACAAUUUUAUUUUAGGUCAUUAUUAGAUAGAUGUCCAAGAUAAUUUUGAACCCUGUGUAAUUACUGACGGAGAAGAUUUAUAAAUUACCAUUUUUGCACAUCUUUCUCCUUCCAAGGCUUCAACUUUGCAAUUUGCUCCUUUGAUUUUGGGGGAUCUUUCACAACAUGCUGAUUAACGACUAGUUGUUAAUCCGCUCCAUGACAUUGACACGAGCAUAUAAAAACGAUAAACAAACUCAUAAUUCUACGAAAUUUUCAUAACAGCCUAGCUUACUAAUAAACAAGACCAAAAAGAAAGAAAGAUAUAACAGAGUCCAAUUAUCAAAAAUGAAAAGAAAAAAAAAACAGAGUCAAAGGUCAACGCCUCAUUUGCGUGUUAUCUCCGAUUCAAACAAUCCAGAAAAAAAAAUGAUAAACAGAAAUAAUCCAAAAUGUUGUCUCUUCUUCUUCCUCUGAUCUCACUCUUAAUCCAAAUCCAAUGUCUCACCGUUGUUAAGUCGCAACCGGUUCCGUUAAACCAAAUAUGCUCAAACGUCACAGGCAAUUUCACCGUUAACACCCCUUACGCCGUCAACCUCGACCGUCUCAUCUCCUCUUUAUCAUCUCUCCGACGUAACGAUAACGGAUUUUACAACAUCUCAGUUGGAGACUCCGACGAAAAAGUCAACUCAAUCUCACUGUGUAGAGGCGAUGUCAAAGCUGAUGAUUGUAUCAACUGCAUCGCAUUGGCUGGAAAAAAACUUGUCACAUUGUGUCCGGUUCAGAAGGAGGCGAUUAUCUGGUAUGACAAAUGUACGGUUAGGUACUCAAACCGGACUAUCUUCAAAAGACUGGAGAUUUUCCCUCAAGCAAGCAUAACCGGGACAAGAAACUUCACCGGAGAUCGUGGUGGUUGGGAGAAAUCAUUAAGGGGUUUACUCGAAGGGCUUAAAGACAGAGACUCUGUAAUUGGUCGGAGCAAGAAGAACUUUGUUGUCGGCGAAACGAGCGGGCCGUCAUUUCAGACAUUGUACGGUCUUGUUCAGUGCACACCGGAUAUUUCGGAAGAGGAUUGUUCCUACUGUUUGUCUCAGGGUAUUGCAAAGAUCCCGAGCUGUUGUGAUAUGAAAAUGGGUAGCUAUGUCUUGUCUCCUAGCUGCAUAUUAGCUUAUGCUCCGUGGAGAUUCUAUGAUCCAGUGGACAUUGAUGAGCCGAGCUCAGCACCUGCGACACCAUCACAGCCUCCGAAGAACGAGACGAGAAGUGUCACACAAGGUAGGUUUGCUACUUUUUUAAUGGAUUUGAAAGUUUUUGAACUCUAGGAUUUAAUUAAGACUUGCGAGUAAGUAUGUUUUGGAUUCCCAUUGUGGAGAUUUGAGUUUGUUACAUAAUAAAACGGGAUUAAUCAUUAAGGGUGUAUAUUUUUGAACAGGGGAUAAAAACAGAGGGGUACCUAAAGCUGUCAUCUUUGCUGUUGCGUCAGUUGCUGUUGUUGUCUUUGUCAUAGCAUUAUUAGUCGUUUACCUAAGGCGGAGAAGAAAUAAAACGAAGAUUAAGAUAAACAAUUCAGAACACCAACAUGAAAGUAAGCUAAAUCUCAAUCUCCUCUGUUUUUCCUCUGUUUUGCCUUUGUUUCUGACGUGAUUUCUAACUCCUUUUAUCAAUACAUAUAUGGUUUAUCAAUUUUUUUUUUUCUUUUUCUAAAAUACAGAUGGAAAUAUUAGCAUGGAUUCCAUGAAAUAUAAUUUCAGUAUAUUACAAGAUGCAACGAGUCAUUUUUCACUGGAAAAUAAACUUGGAGAAGGUGGAUUCGGAUCAGUUUAUAAGGUAAUCUUACAAACUAUAGAAUAACCUGCUGUCAUGUUUUGUAAUCUGUAGUGAUCAUCAUAACAUCGUCCUACAUUAUCAUCAAUAGGGUGUACUUUCAGAUGGACAAAAAAUAGCGGUGAAGAGGUUGUCCAAAAAUGCACAACAAGGUGAAACCGAAUUCAAGAACGAGUUUUUGCUGGUGGCUAAGCUUCAACAUCGUAAUCUCGUGAAGCUCUUAGGUUACUCUACUGAAGGAACUGAAAGGCUUCUCGUGUAUGAGUUCCUACCACACACUAGCCUCGACAAAUUCAUCUUCGGUACACAUUCUACGUAUUCUUGAAAACCAUUAAAUUCUUCUAUAGUUUGUGUGUAUGAUCUCAAGUGUUUGAGUGUUUCUAUAGAUCCGAUCCAGGGUAAAGAAUUGGAUUGGGAAAUUAGAUACAAAAUCAUUGGAGGUGUAGCUCGAGGACUUCUCUAUCUUCAUCAAGAUUCUCGUCUCCGGAUUAUUCACCGUGAUCUUAAAGCUAGUAACAUAUUACUAGACGAGGAAAUGACCCCGAAAAUCGCAGAUUUCGGAAUGGCUAAGCUUUUCGAUAUCGACCACACAACUCAGCGCUACACGAAUAGGAUCGUGGGGACUUUGUAAGUAGUAAAAACGUAACAUUUAUAUUGUACUCAUCAAACUCGAUUAUGAUCAGUCAUUUGGUUUAAACAGUGGAUACAUGGCUCCGGAGUAUGUGAUGCAUGGACAGUUCUCUUUUAAGACAGAUGUUUACAGUUUCGGAGUUUUGGUUCUUGAGAUCAUCAGUGGUAAGAAAAACAGUUGUUUCAGCAUUGAGGAAAGCAUGGAGGAUCUCAUUAGCUUUGUGAGUAUAUUACUUGCAAAAAUCUUGAGCUUUGAUCAAUGACUGUUAAUUCACAUCACGAAGUUCCAAUGUUUUUGGUUAUAAGGCCUGGAGAAAUUGGAAGGAAGGUGUUGCAUUGAAUCUUGUGGACAAGAUGUUGAUGACAAUGUCGAGCUAUUCAGCGAAUAUGAUAUUGAGAUGCAUAAACAUUGGUCUUCUUUGUGUCCAACAGAAAGUUGCAGAGAGGCCAAGCAUGGCUUCUGUUCUUCUGAUGUUAGAUGGACAUACCCUUGCUAUUUCAGAACCUUCAAAGCCUGCGUUUUUCGCACACAGCAAUGCGGUAUCGGAUAGCUCUUCUUCUUUAGGACAUAAUGCAAAAACCUCAAAUUAUAAUUCCAACACUGAGUUGUAUCCUCGGUGAGUUUGUCUUGAAACUGAAAUAAAGAUACUCAUUGAUGAUGACUAAUUGAUGAAUCAUGGGAUUGAUAAUUAGAUUUGAGUCCAACUCACUGUAAGUGAGGAAAAAGAGUGUUACAAGUCUCUGUUUCACUUUCAAGGACAGAUGUUUCUAAGUCAUCUCGUCUCUUGAAGAAAACUAAUUGGGGGGGAAAAAUGUACAAAAUCAAAGAAUAAAAAGGUUAUUUGAGUGAGUCAUGAUCAGUUGAAUCGAGAAGCAAGAUCAAUGAAUAUUUCUUCACUGCAAGGGAUUGUGAGGCCACCCAUUGGAUGAUCAUAUCCAAAUUCCUCCUCUGCCUUUCUUAGUAGAUCUUGAAAUGAAGGCUGGUUCAAGUAAGAUAUGGGAACUACAAAUCUCUUCAUCUUUCUUUCUCCUACGUAAACGGCUAAGUAGCCCUUUGGAACAUCAAGAGAGCUAGAUGAAGAGGAUGAGAACAGUUUUGCUUGUCGGAGAAUUUGCUUGGAUGAUUGCAGCACACGAGGGACCCUGAUCGCCAUGGAUUGUCUUGUGUGAUUGUUGGAAACUGCAGGUUUAAUUCUUUACUGGAAAAAAUGUGAGAACUUGCAGAGCUUGAAGGACUCAGUGAUGACUGAUGAGUAUAUAUAGAUAAGAACAUUACUUGAAGAUAACUCUUUAUUGGUUUAGAAAAGUUUCAACUCAUAAUAAACACCAACAAGCACAUGGCUUUGCCGGACCACGGCAUGAUAAGUAAGGGACCCCUACUGAUCAAUCUUCAUGAUUUCUGAUGUGAAGACACAAAUCAGUAUGACCACUUGUUUGUUAGAUAGGCACUAUAACUAGUCAAGUUUUCAAUUCUUGCCACAGAAAUUUUGAAGGCUUUUUGUGACUUUGUCUGCAUAUAAUCAAGUCAUGGGGUCCUGUCUUUUUGUUAUCAUUAUGACUUAAUCAGUGAUAGAGACUUAUGGUUCAUUAGGUACACAACUUCAGGUCCCUACAUAAUCUAUAGAGAGAUUUGGCAUGUGAUGUCUUGGAGACCAAUAAGCCCCAAUGAAAUUAUCAUGUAGGACAUCAUUAGAUACUAACUUCUCAGACACCAUUUAUUGAUUUGUUCUUGGUUUAGUAUCUCCAAUCCAAAGCCAUGUGCCUCUGUAAUGGAAAGAAAAAAAAACCCCCCAAAAAAAAAUACUUAAUUUCUGAUAAUUUCGUUUAUAUAACAACUAACAGGAAACCCUUUUUGAUUCACAAACUAUUAUUAAAGAUCCAAAACAAAAUUUAAAAGCUUAAAGCUUUCUCCAAGAACAAGAAAGGUUAUUAUAGCUUAAACCCACCAAGCUUCAAGACAAGCACAACAACAAAAAAUGGCUUUUCUGAGAAGUUUAUUGAGGGAUAAGCAAAUAAUGCUAAGGUCAUCAUCAUCGCCGUCGACACCAAGAGGAUUCAUGGCGGUUUACGUUGGGGAGAACGAUCAAAAGAGGAAGAGAUAUGUGGUGCCGGUAUCAUACUUAAACCAGCCUUUGUUUCAAGAACUGUUAAGUAAAUCAGAGGAGGAGUUUGGUUUUGAUCAUCCUAUGGGGGGCUUAACCAUACGUCCAUACCAUGCCAUGAAUCUUUGUUCUUCGCAGUCACAUCUCAGAUUGGAUGAAUUACACAAAGAGCAUUCCUUGGUCUUAGACAAAGUUACAUUAAUUAUGUAGAGAUAUUUUAGAUGAUCAGUUCCCCUGGAAAUAUAUUGUACAACUGUUUCCGUGAGAGGAAUAUACAUACAUAGAGCGUGCUUAUGAUUCAUUGCAUGCAGCCAUGCAUGAUAAUUAAUGCAUUUCAAUUAUAUAUAUAAAAAGUAGUGUUUUUUAGAAAAAUUAUACAUAUGUGUCGUAUAUAAUUAUUCUGGUUGGUUGUUAUUUCCCUUUAGUUUCCAAAGAACAAAUAUGUAUGUACAUAUGUGACUAAUCAAUUUCAUUCCUUCCUUCUGACAACUGUAAUAACAAUAGUGAGAAAACUUGUAUUUUAGUUUUUUAUUUUAUGAUCAUCAUAUAAAUUAUUCAAAACAACAUUAAUGAGAAAAAUACUUUAAUGGGCCCAAAAAUAAAAUCCCAAGCCCAAAGCCUUAACUUAAAACGCCUCGCAUGCCACGCGCCCUUUAAGUAUAAUAGGUUGCGCGUGGGAGAGAAGUUGGCACCGUUUCUUUAUAUUUGCUUACGUCAUAUUUCCUGUAACGUCUUUUAUUUGUUUGCUUACGUGACGUCUUUGUUGUAACGUCUUUCUUUGUUUCCUUUAUUUAAUUUAUGAUCCUUUAUUUUUGUCCUUUUUGCUAAUUAGUAACCCGACGUAACUAAAACAUCCCAGUUAGUCCGGUUCAGCUAGCUACCAUUUCUUUGAUACGUCCCUCCGGUUUAUUAUUGAAUAUGCAUGUAUAUAUUUAUAAUGUUGUUUUUCGAACUAUAGAGCUAAUUAUGUUAUCUUUUCAUUGCAUUUUUAUACGUUUGCCCUUGUCCAACUAAUAUGUAUGUAUUAACAUUUUGUCACUCCACCGAAACAUGAAAAAGAUUCAAAGUUUCCAAGUGAAGAGGAGGAGAAGGGAGUGGGGGGGCCAAUGUAAGAAGAACCAAUUAAGCAUCAAUAAAAAUGGAGUCACAUGCCAAAUUAAGUAGGAAUACGACCUCAAAACCCUACCUCCAAAUCCACAUUUAGCAUUAUACAAAAUUAUUAUUGACGUCUAAAAGAAAGCUUAGUCCUAUCUUGUGCCGUCUCGAUCAUUUUCUCUAGGUGCCACUCUGUUUUUUCUUUUCUUUUUCUUUCCCUGAUGUUGCCCCUUUUGAAAUUCAACUGUUGAUCAUCGUACAAGAAAAAAAAACUUAGCCAAUCUGAUCUAAUAAUUUCCUGGGUCCAAUUUAUCCUGCAGCCCAUGUGAUGAAAAGACCAUACAUUUCACUUCAGAUCUUGCCACCUAUAUUUUUUUCUUGACUUCGAAACAGAGCUCAUGGCCGCUUCUCCUUCACGUGAAUGUUUUAGAAAUUUAGAUUCAUCAGUCACUUCCUAUACGAAACAUAUAUGGAACUUUCUGAGGUUUUCUUUUUGUUUUAUUUUUUUAAAAGAUUUGAUUUGACACAAGUUUCGAGUAAAUAUGCACUGCAUCUAUUUCACUUGGAAGAGUUUACGAGCAACAAAGAGUGUGUUAGACCAGAGCUACUCUGCUUUAUUUUGGGGAAACCGAAACAGAGUUGUACAGACAGGACAGGACAGGACAGCACAAGGGUUCAUCGAUUCUGGAUUCUCGCCGUGAAAGUAGAAAAAAGAGAUUCGAGAAAUUCCUAAAGUAAGCCAGACAAGUUUCAAGUCUAGUAAAAUCUGCAUUAAAGAAGUUGCAUUUUGCUCUGUAAAAAUGGAAAGUUGUACAAAAGAGGACAGUUUGAGGGAAGGAGGAGGAGGCAAGAGUAACAUGGGUCUUUCAUGUGCUUGGUCGAGACGAGAGACAUGUCGUUAUCAGUCCGUAAGCUGAAAUUGUCCCUUCAAAGAUUCGUAAUUUCCCUAAUCCUCUUCUCGUUUUCACGGAAGUUUUUUCACAACAAAUCUCGUUCGCAGAACAUGCUAGCCUCUUUCCCUGACAACGACCCUAAACCCUCUCUUUCUCUCUCUCUGUCGGUUUUUGUGGUCGAUAAAAGGAAAAAAUAAAACCAUGAUUCUGAUUCACUUGUUGCUUGAUGUGAUAGAUUUAGGAAGUAACUCACAAAGUUUGACUUGAGUUCAAAGUUUACUUUGUAGAAUUGCAUAGUCUUGGGUUACGUGUGAAAGAAGCAACCCACGCUAAUUAUCUUGUUUUGGGAUUUAUGGAACAUUCAAGUUAUGUACAUAAUGAUAUACUUCAUCAGUUUCAUAAAUUUACAUGUUUUAUACCCUUUACACCAUAUUUAACAUUUUUCCUACAAGACCUAAUAUACUCUUACUCUUCUUUUACAAGUAAAUAUUAGUUUAAAAGAAGUUAUUUCCACUCAAAAUAAUGGAAGUACAAAACAUCUAUAGUGAAAGCAGAGUUUCGUUUUAAAAACAUCAACUAUUAAGAAAGGGACUAAUUAUUAUUAUUUAUCUUCAAUCUUCAUUACGACCGAAACGACGAAAUGGAUUAGGAAGGGGAGGAACAUCACAAAUCAACAAAGAUGGGAAGCUCGAGAUCGUGAGGCUUAACAUGUUCUUUGUCCCAAACCUUUUACGACCAGAAACAAAGAUCUAAUAAAUGCCCAUUGUCCAUAAGCAUAUAUAACAAUAUUACAACAUGGUCAAAAGUAUUGUAAACAUAUACGGUCACUUGCAGACAAGACUUUAGACGAAUCUUACUUAGCGUUUUUUUUUUUGUAUGCAUUUGUUACAAUCUGUGUCUCAAAUAGAUAUUUUGUAACCAAUUGGUUGUAAUUAGAUAAUUUUGUUUGCUGGUCAAGAUCAUAAAAUUGAUUUCUAUUGGCUGCAUUAUUCGUUAUUUUUGGGGAGUUCAUCACAUGACAGUUGUGAAUCUCGCAAUUUGUCUAACCUUUACGCCCUAAUUAAACAAAAAAAAAAUUAAAAAAUCCGGCUACCUGAACGUAGCUAUUGCAAAAUUUAGAUAUGGUACGUAGUUGAAAAACCGCGUGAUUAUUAGUCGUCUAUUUUAGGUUAAAAGGAUCUUGUCACAUAAUUAAAGAAUCUAAUGUACUGUUUGACACUAAUAGAACUUGCUUGUAGUCCGGUGAUAUCGCUCUGUUGGUGUAGACGACGGAUGGAUCGAUCAUAAUCCACCGUGAUGUAAACAAUUAACUAUACAUUUUGUCCACUUACACGGAAGCUGCUAGUCCAUGCGAUUGGUCCAAAACUACAUGCACCUUAAACAUUAAAAAUUUCGUGCUGGAAGGAUUGAAUACAACUAUGUAGAGUUAUUUAAAGUUAAACUAGAGUCUAUAGGUGAGUAAUUUUAUGCGUGCUUAACCACAGAGUAUGUUUAAGGAGGAGUACAUAUAAAUUUGUACUUAUAGAGUACAUAUUCAGAUACAUGUUCGUACGUAAUUAAGGAAAAUAUAGUUACCACACAUUUGAUAUUUUUCUUCUUCUUUCCCUAUUUAUGAGAAUAACUGUUGUGAGAGAGAAGAGAGAAGAGAGAGGAGGGACCAUGGUGUCUUGGGGAGGACCAACAACGAAAUUAAAUCCCAAUGGGUUUGGAUCCCACACUGUCACAUGCCUCUCUACGUCCCUUCUCCUGCUUUUUUCCUGCUCCUUAAAAAUUAAAAAAAAAAAAAAANNNNNNNNNNNNNNNNNNNNNNNNNNNNNNNNNNNNNNNNNNNNNNNNNNNNNNNNNNNNNNNNNNNNNNNNNNNNNNNNNNNNNNNNNNNNNNNNNNNNNNNNNNNNNNNNNNNNNNNNNNNNNNNNNNNNNNNNNNNNNNNNNNNNNNNNNNNNNNNNNNNNNNNNNNGUUUGUAAUACUUAUAAAGAUAAAUCGAAUAAUCAUUUGAGGUGUAUCAUUAUUUUAGAAGAGUCGUCCAACACGGCACUAACCAAAAUUUUAGAUUAUUGAUUGAUCAUUUGAUCAAACAUAAAUAUGACAUAAAAUUUCGGAUAACCAAGAAAAUUAAAAUAAAACUGUUGCUUUUAGGAUCCUAUCCUCAUCCUCCGAGUUCCUCCAUAAAUAACACCUUUCGCCACCACUCUCUCAUCAAAAACUUCUCACUUCUCCAUCAUUUUCUUCUCUUCACUCUCUCUCUCUCACUCUCAUAGAAAAAAGAAAAGAAAGAAAGAUAGUAGCUAGUAAAGCUAAAGAAUGGCGGUAAAGAGAUCUUCGAAACUAACACAAACAGCAAUGCUAAAGCAAAUCCUCAAGAGAUGCUCGAGCUUAGGCAAGAAACAAUGCUACGACGAGGAAGGCCUCCCUCUUGACGUACCAAAGGGACAUUUCCCGGUUUAUGUAGGCGAAAAGCGUACGAGGUACAUCGUACCAAUCUCUUUCUUGACUCACCCCGAGUUUCUCAUCCUUCUUCAACAAGCAGAGGAAGAGUUCGGCUUUCACCACGACAUGGGAGGACUCACUAUUCCUUGUGAAGAAGUUGUUUUCCUCUCUUUAACAUCCAUGAUCAGAUGAGAUAGAGAUCCACUUUAAUCAUUCAUAUUAUGAUGAAGACUAAAGAUUCUUUUGCUUCUUUUUGCCUUUGGAUAAAUCAUAUAUUAUCCAAAUGGUUCUUGGUUUGUUUUUUUCCGGACUAAAACCUGCAAGAUCCACCCAAAACAGAUCAUUCCCUACAUGGAUCAUGUAAAUCUCGGGUUUUAGUUCGUCAAUUAACGCCCUAAAUGGGGUUUGUAUUCGAUGCAAUGGCCUUUUUUCAUUUUAUGAGCUGAUCAGUGGUGGCUCGCACUAAUAGAUGAUUAAUUAGUGCAAGUUUGAUAUUGGCCAUUCUUUCUUUCUUUUUUUUAUAUAGUUCGGGUCUAUGAUCGUUCGAGUUUUUUUGAAACUAAGAAAUGUUUGAUCUUUAUAUGAAUCUUUUAUUGGGGUUUCCUGAUCACGUAUGUAAUAAGUAUGUUUUGCCUUUGUAUGCGAGCUGAUGUAUAAAACUAAAAUUUCCAUCCUAAUUUUGUUCAUAUAUUAUUAAAUUAUGUAUCAUAAUUAACAUCUGAACAUAUCAUCCACGACCACGAGAAACAGACGAAUAAAUCGAUCCAACCCGCAACACAAUAUCAUCAAUAUUCAAAUUAAUGCUGCUGCAAAAAUUCAUGUACGUCAACUUGACGAAAACAAAGAUUACGGUUAAUUUGUUUGAGUUGAGACACAAAACCUUGUAUAAAAAGACCAAACAUGCAUGAAUAUUGGUUUUGUAUAUAAAUAAUUAACAUAUAGUUUUUUAAAUCCGCCUUUGAGUUUUGAGUUUUGACUUUAACGUGCAUAUAUAGUAGGCAAACAGAUUAUGAGCGGAUUACUUCUUAUAGGUGAAGCAAAAGCAUAUUUGUCUCUAGUAAUUAUAAGUUGGUCCUAUAUAUACUAUUAAUAUGGAUUGGAAUUAAACUUAAUAAUGCAUUUAGUUUUUUUUUUUUUGUUAAAAAUAUAUAAUUAUUAUCUAUAUAGAAUAAAUAUUAUAAAAUUGAAUGCACUUACCCUUCUCUCUUUUUCUUUUCCUACGAGCCACAAAUCCUAUAUGACAGCAACUACUCUUCUUAAUGCACAUACCUUUUUUUGUUUUUUUUUUGCCUUUUAAGUAGGGAUUUACUCUCUUUCUCUUCUCAAGAAUAUCUUUUGGUUCGUACCAAUUUUUUUUUAUUUUUAUGUUUGGAAUAAACUGCACCCACAAGUACCAAUAAUAUCUAUCCUGCCGCAUCACUCAUUUUGGUACAUAUACAUACAUACAUAUUGGUAAGUCGAAUACAUAGAAAAAGAAAAGAAAAGAAGACGAUCGAACUUUGUCGAAUAUGUAAUACGUACGUAGUUAUAUAUGUACACACAACAAACAAAUCGGUUGAAGGACUAAUUAACCCAUGACUACUUGAGUAUACAAGGAAUUAUAAAGAAGAAGCACUAAUAGUCUAAUUCUCAAUCACCCAUUCUUUAUAUAAAUACAGUAUAUAUAUACAUGAAAAUAUCGUUGUACUCGAAAUGCUUGGGUGAUUGAGAAUUUAAGGUAAGUUCUUUUAGGGUUGAAAAUCAAAGUAGAUUUAUAAUAUAACUGUUCUUUAAAUUUAAUAAAAUCGUCAUAUAUAUAUAUAUAUAUUUAACCCGAACGAUAAAGGAAAAAAAUAGAGAGGCCAUUUCACGAAGUGAUGGCACAUCCAAACCAUGAAUGAAGGGACGAGGAGAAGAAACAGCCAAAGAGGUUUGGAUCUCAACUGGAUGAGUAAACUACAAAAAGAAGAAUCUUUUUUAAUAUUGUCCCUUUCCGUACGAAAUUAAAACUAUUUGUCUAGGAAAAUUCUUCGAAGCUGCAUUUGUCAUUUGUCAAUUUCCACACAACAGAAUAGUUUCAUUUUUUUUUGGGUGGUUUUUAAUGAUUUUCAAUCUUUAAUCCCUAAUAUUUUUGUUACUGGCUGGAACUUGUGGGAGCUCCACAAAUUUGGAUAAUACCAACGCUGAAAAAUAAAAAUAACACAUAUUAAACCAGUUGAAACAUUGAUAUUUUAACAUUCAUACUUACUCAUCUUUUUAACUUGUACAACGGUGUAAGUGCUCUUUUUUCAUGUCUUUUCUUGUCUGACUUUUUUCAUGACAUUCUCCUUUAACACUACGGUUCUGUUAUCAAGAAGGUUCAGUCAUUCUACUAUAGUUGCAGCCAACAAGUUAGGAUCACAGACAGUGUGGAGCACAAGGGUAAAGUUGUCAACUACAAGCAACUGAAAACCAAAUAUAUAUAUAGAACAUGGACGAUGAUUGAUUGACGAACAUAAUUAAACAGACUAUGUCAUUCAUUGUAAAAAAGUCUCAAAGCAAACCAGUUAGAACACAACUACAACAGGUUGAAGACAAACGGGAUGGGGAACUGAUUGAAGCGAGGAGCACGGAUAACUAAUCUUACAGAAACAUGAGAUUCUCAACUUGAGCAGAGGAGACAGAGUCCGCAAGAAAACGUACACAAUGCUCUGUUUUGUCCCUUGUAUUUCAAAAGUUCUCAUACUAUCUUUCUUCAUAUCAUAGUAGACAACACUUGGUAGGGAUGAAUGUAGAUAGGUUGGUGUAAAUAUAAUCUCACCAGUGUCAGCGUCGGUGGUGCUAAAAUUCCGAAACCUAUGAAAAUGAGGGUCUGUUGUGGAGGCAACUAAAUUAGGCAAAACAAAAGUCUUCUUGGACCAUUCCUUAUUAGAAUCAUCUUCUAGAACCCACAAACCAAUGAUUCCACUGAUUUUCUUUUCAAAGAAGAUAAGAGCCAGCUUUCCCUCGUAGUUGGUCAACUUUGAAAAGCCACGAAAGGUGCAAGGUCCUUUGAUAAGAUGAAGUUUUUCAGACCUAACAUCAAAACUCAUGACUGCAGACUCAUUUAGGUUUGUGCCAAUAAAAGCUAGGUAAUACAAAAUACCAUUGAUGCAAAGUUGCUCACUUACAGGAGAGUGAGGAGGAAUAAUGCCUUGAAUCAUCCUCCAUGCAUAACUCCCAGUACUUGCCAAUGUCAAAACCAGUAUCUCCUCAGCUAAACCGCGUCUGUUUCUCAGCACAGGCGUUCCUCCCAAGAUACACAGAGCAAUCUGAUCAGGAUUUUAACUGGAAAUCGUUUGAGUAUCUCCAUCAUCAAAUCAACCGGAAGUGACUCUGAAUUUACAAGCUUCUUCCUCUGUGUUUCCAUGGCAGAGAAACGUAAGCGACAACGAUUAUCUCUCUUUAGCGGCCACUUUGCCAAUGCAAUUGUUUGGUGAAAACCCUAAAUAUUUAAUGAGUAACGUUUUAUAUUUCCUAAAGUUUUUACUUUGUUGUGACGACAAAAACGCCAAUCAUUCCAUCACUAAGUUAUUAAUUAAAAAAUCUUCUUUAAAAUAAAAACUUAUCGAGUUUAGUUUUAAAAUUAUCUUCAUAAACACUUUUGUUAUAUUAAAAAACUUUUACGUUUUCGGAAAAAAAAAAAAACAAUACGUAAUAAAUUUUGAUUUAUCUUAUUGUUAUCAAAUUUUCAAAAUAAAAUAAAAUAAUAUAUAGCACAUUUUCUAAUUAUACAUUCAAUAAUAUUUAUGUUUCUGACUCGCUUUCACCAAACGAUUCCGAUUCCUUAACCUUUUUAUAGUCUAAUUCGAUAGAAGAUUGUAAACAUCCAAAUUCUUAACGUAAUCCAUUAAUUAUACUAAUCACAAACUUUAUAUAUUCAUUCACUCGAAGCCUCCUAAAACCUCUCGAUUUAAAACUAAGUUAUUUCUCGGUGUCCGUUCAUGGCCUUCUCCGUAGAAAUCUCGUCUCUCUCCCCUUACCCUUUGCCCGCAAACCCUAGAAGACUUUCUCAACUUGCUAUUUCCCCUUCCUUCUUCAAACCCUACGUUUUCAAAACUCUUGGUCGUAUCUCUGUUUCAUGCAGACGCCCCCUUUACCCCGUUUUCUCGGCGAGAACACAGGCAACUACUGACCUAGGCGACGAUGACAAGCCUCACGAAGAAUGUGGGGUUGUCGGGAUCUAUGGAGACCCUGAAGCUUCCCGUCUCUCUUACUUGGCUCUUCACGCGUUGCAACACCGUGGCCAAGAAGGAGCAGGAAUCGUAGCGGCUAAUCAAAACGGUCUCGACUCAAUCACAGGGGUUGGAUUAGUCUCAGACGUGUUCAACGAGUCUAAACUAAACAAUCUUCCUGGCGACAUAGCGAUAGGGCAUGUCCGGUAUUCAACUUCUGGAGUCUCUAUGCUCAAGAAUGUUCAGCCUUUCAUCGCUACCUGCAAACUAGGAUCAUUCGCAGUAGCGCACAAUGGUAAUUUCUUGAAUUACAAGCAACUGAAGACAAAGCUCGAAGAAGACGGUUCGAUCUUCAUCACAAGUUCUGAUACCGAGCUUGUUCUUCACCUGAUCGCCAAAUCUAAGGCCAAGACGUUUCUUUCGAGGCUCAUCGAUGCUUGUGAGAAGCUUAGAGGUGCUUACUCGAUGGUUUUCGUCUUUGAAAACAAGCUUAUAGCUGUUCGUGAUCCGUUUGGGUUUAGACCACUUGUGAUGGGCAGAAGAAGAAACGGAGCAGUUGUUUUUGCCUCUGAGACUUGCGCUUUGGACCUGAUUGAUGCGACUUAUGAGCGUGAAGUGUAUCCCGGUGAGAUUGUGGUCGUGGAUGGAACCCAUGGAGAUAGUUCUAUGUUCAUGAUCUCUCACCCUGAACCCAAACAGUGCGUUUUUGAGCAUGGUUACUUCUCACAGCCCAACUCAAUUGUCUUUGGCCGUUCUGUGUACGAAACCCGCCGCAAGUACGGUGAGAUCUUAGCAACAGUGGCACCUGUCGAUUGUGAUGUGGUCAUUGCAGUGCCAGACUCGGGAACAGUGGCCGCUCUUGGAUAUGCAGACAAAGCUGGAGUGCCAUUCCAGAUUGGUCUUUUGCGGUCACACUAUGCUAAACGCACGUUUAUAGAGCCGACUCAGAAAAUCCGUGAUUUUGCAGUGAAGGUGAAGCUAUCUCCUGUCCGAGCAAUCAUUGAAGGGAAGCGGGUGGUAGUAGUGGACGACUCUAUUGUCCGCGGUACCACAAGCAUGAAGAUAGUUCGGUUGCUUAGAGACGCUGGGGCGAAGGAGGUUCAUAUGAGAAUAGCAUUGCCGCCGAUGAUUGCAUCGUGUUACUACGGAGUGGACACUCCGAGGAGCCAAGAGUUGAUCUCUAGUAAGCUGAGUGUCGAGGAGAUCAAGAAGCAUAUUAAUUGUGAUUCUCUGGCCUUUCUACCAUUAGAUUGUUUAAAAGAGGUCUAUGGACCGGUCGGGUCAAAAAGGUAUUGCUAUGCCUGCUUUACAGGUGAUUAUCCCGUGACCACAACAGAGACCGAGGAGGAGGAAGCCGACGUUCUCUGAAUCAACAAUCAGCAUCCUCUCCCUCUCUGCUUUACCUUUAAACUUUGAGAAGUUUUAAAUUACAUGUUGCAUUGCUCUCUAAUAAUUUUAUGUUCUAAGAAAUAAUCGGAUUGGCUUUAUAUUUAAUCUGUAAAAACCUCAAAAAUAUAUUUAUUUAGAAGUUAGAACUAUCAAAAAUAAAGCGGGGCCUCCUCACACUGUUUCAGACAUGUUUUUAAUGAAAUUGAUAUUACAGAAGAUGUGGUUGAAUCAGCCAUUUUCAGCCCGAUCAUAAGCAUUGGAUUUGUGCUUGGGGGCAAAUGUGAACCCUUCCGGAACCUUUCCAAGCAGCAAUUCAGAUAUCCGCACCUGCAUGUAGUAACAUAAUAUUAAGCUUAAGCUCAGAUAGUCCAAACUUCGAAGUAAGAAGAUAAAAUGAAGAUUUUUUUUUAACGCACCCAGUCACCAGCAGAUUCAGACAUCAUGAGUGUCUCAAGAUCAUCACGACCAAAGUAAGAAGGCGGGCGCCAGUUGAUUUGCUGCGGGAUUACAUCAAGCAAACCGACAGGUAUGUACCUAAACGUGUAGCUUAGCCACUCCAGCAAAAAAUGCCUAGUUGUUUCAACUCCUGUUUGAAAUAAUUAUAAUAACGGCAGAGCAUUAGUCACAAGGGACAAAACAAACUAACAUAACAUAGUUUCAAUUCCAUGCCGUGUAUUUUAUACCUUUUGUGUCGGAUCCCCAAUGUUGAAGACCAAAACGUACAAAGUCCUUCAAGAUGUUAAGCCUUUCUCCGGAGGUAAUGUCCCAGUGACGUUGCUCUUUGAUUUCAGUAAAUAUCCAAGGCUGCACAAGUCAAAAUCCCAUUGAGACUAUCCAAUGAUCUACUAGGAAUAAACUAAUAUUAUUUGGUCAUACACACACCUUGAUCAAUGCUCCACGAGCAAUCAUGCAGCUAGACAACUCAGGACAGUCAGACUUGUGUUUGUUCCAGUCUAAAUAAGAGUACACAUCUCCAUUUCCUAUAACUUGUAGGUUAGUUGAAGCGUUUUUGGUACACUGAUAUAUAUAGUCCCAAUCUGCAGACUUGCUAUAACGUUGCUGCCUUGAUCGCCCAUGAAUAGUCACUGCAGUGGCUCCCCAAUUUCCGAUAUCUGCAAUUAAUGAAUCUAUCCGAUUCUUACCCUCAAAGAAUGCCGUACGUACCUGGCACCAAAAUGGUUAUAAUAUCAACACAUACACAUUCACCAAUGUUACAGUUUCAUAUGGAAGGCGAUUUCAUUUCAGAUUUGCUUAGGCAGUUACCUUGAUAGUGAUAGGUGUUUCAACAAUGGAAGAAGAAACUUCCACUAUGUUUUUCAUUCGUAAUGGUUUGUUGAGAAGAGCUGAACCAGCACUUUUGUUGACAACCAUAUCUAUCGGGCAACCCAUAUUGAUGUCAAUGAAAUCAACAGUGCAUUCUCGAUCUAUAAGCUCAACUGUGCGCGACACUGUAUCAGGAAAAGAACCGCAAAUCUGAACACCAAACAGAUCUUCUGAUGAAUGCCGUCUAAGUAGAGCCCACUCCGAAGCUUGACCCUACAACAAGUCAUUUUGCAUGUUUUCACAUUAUUACAAAAGAAAAGGAUUAAUCAUUCUGUCAGCAUAGCUGAGAGUGCAAUUAGUGGCUUAACCUGCAAAAGAUUUGUGCACAUAGCCAUCUCACCACAAGUCACAUCUGCUCCCAACACUUUGCAAAGUCUUCGGAAGGGAAGAUUGCCCACAGUUGUCAGGGGUGCAAGGUAUAACUUAUCCCUAAAAUCAAUAAGCUUUUUCUUUUCACGAGGGUGCAACUUUAGACUACCCUCAGUUUCAACAAUUUUGAUGCUAUCCUCAUCUUUUACGUCACCUUUUGAAGUAGAAUACCCAUUCUUUUGGGUUUCCUCUUCCACUUGCACGCCUGUAUCAAUAAAAUUAACUGAGACAUUAGGAUAUUUUCUUGUCCCACAACCUUCUUAUGUCAACCUUUCCUCUUUAAUACAUACUGUAGCUAAGAGAUAGCUACAUAAUUAUAAGUAUUGAAACUAUGCAACUAUCUGAGACAAUCUAGCAAAAGUUAAUUGACAUUUUGGUGUAGAGAAGUAAGCCUAACCAUCAUUAACUCCACCAACAUCUCCAGGAUUGAGUUUAUCUACGUUCUCAGAUUUUGCCUUUUUCAUGGGACGAACUUCCUCAGUUUCUAAUGGUCGAGGAAUAUCAACAUCUUUUAUCAUUUCUGAUGUAGGCUCAGAGCUGACAGCUGAGUCAACCGCCACUUCAGUUGCUUGAGUGACAUUUGCACCAUUUUGAGGUUUUUCUGCGUUAUUUUCUUCAGCAGCAUUGCUUUUUUUGGCAUGUCCCUAAAAAUUGUAUGAAAUAAAGAGAAUAACCACUCAGGUCUCAUGGUAUGAGAUAUAGGAGUGAAACUGCAGUAUAUGACAUGCCAUAGACACUGUACAAACACAAAAAAUCAUGAAAAUAAACGAAAUAAUACGUUGUAGAACAUACCAACAGACCGAGGGACUUGAGCUUCGCAUCUGCGUUGAUAAAAGUCAUCUUAUUCUUCCACAGAAGCCUCUGGGUCUCUUUGUUAAAAAAGUUGAGCUCCUCCUUCCCAUCUGAAUUACUAGCAAUUUCUCUGUGAGUGCCUAAGAAUCUACAUGAUAAACCAUAUGCACACUUCAUCUCAGAGGCCACAAAUGGGCACUGCCCCUCUAUAUCAUCUGGUUUCUGCAGUAUCAACAAAAAAAAUUGUCAGUUAAUUUCUUUCUCAAUAUCAUCCAAGUUCAAUCACACAAAAUCAUGGUACCAAAUCAACAUCGAUAAACGGCAAAAGUGAGUACCUGAGCCUUGAAAGCGUCAAUAUCAUGAUUAAACCGACAAUUAUCUUUAUACUGACAGGAAUUAACGUCUUCUGUUCUCGCAACCUGGGGACAGAGAUUGAUGGUAGAUUGCUGCAAGAAAGAGCAUGCCAGGUUCGGUUACAAUAAUAUUAAAAUUCACCGCAAUAAUACAACGGCACAGCAUAGAUUAUAUCCCUUUCGGAUUAAGGCCAUUCUCUAAACUAUCCAGUUUCACUUGCUAAAACCAAUUCUAAACCAUAGCUAGAUUCGCAGCUAUACUAGCACCGAUGUACAAAGCAUAACCACUAGUAUACUUUGAAAGCUUUCAGCGUAAUGGUAAUGUAAUGCUCGUCAUCUCUACUUGUGAAAUUGGGGUGAAUGGAAAUACCUCACGGCGUUCCCGUUUGAGCUGUCGUUUCGAUUUCUUCUCCUGGACCAAGCCAGACUGAGGCGCCUUCAAUUCGGCGUCAUUUUGCUUCCCGGAACGGCUUGGGGGAGGACAUAGGAACUCCUUCUUAAUAGGAGCCAUUGAUCGUUCUAUAAGCUCUUUCGAAGUCGCUUCAUACACAGAGAACUGUUUCGUCGAUUGGACAGGCUUUGCAUCUUCUCCAACACUAGUAUCCGCCGCGAGCUCCGCUACGGAAUCGGACAUAGCGGACAAGCUCCGUCGACGCCGGAAAUAUUCUAAAGGUACACGCCAAACUGAAGUGUGUGAGAUAACUGAUAGUGUUGUUGUUAGGGUUUUAGACUUUUAGAUAUUAUUUUUGCAGAGACGAAAGGCAACCCACGAUUUUAAUGGGCCAUGAACGAGGCCCAGCUUGUCAACUAAAAAAAAGGGGCAGGUAGAGAGGAAAAACGAACAACAAAGAGACAAAGAAUCCAAACUUAAAUAAAAACAAAACAAACAGAGAAAUCUCCUUGUCUGAAGUUCAAUCUCUUGUACCUCCAUUACAGAUAUAGCAUAUAUGUCCAGAUUCAUUACCUAUCUACCCAUAAAUUGAAUUUUUCUUCCUAAGAUAUAAAAUUAAAUUUCUUGGACUUACGCCUUAUAUGAUAUAUAUGUAAAUUCAACUGAGUCUGCACAUUAGAAAAAAAAAAAACUAUAAUGUAUGGUUUGAUAUGUAACUUUUAAAACUAAAACUCCAACCCUUUGAUCCAGCCACCACCGCAACAGCUUCUCUGCUCUAAUCAUUUGAUUCAGGUUUUGUUGCCAAUGCCAUGGUUCCAUUCUGGUUCUGCUGAGACUGUUGUCUUGACUGGCUGAUAUUGAGUUGCUGGAACAUCUCAGCGUUGAGUGAUUGCAUCUUUGAUCUGUCAGUUUCGUUGUGGCUGGUCUCACCGAUUGCUAGUUUCAGUCGCUGGACUUCCCCACUCAGUGCUUCGUUCAGAGCUGUCAUAGAAAAAGCGGGGAAAAACCCACUCAUUAUACAUUUCAUCAAGCGCAAAAAGAUUACAUCUUUGACAGAUAUUUUUAAGCAUCUAGUAGUAGUUGUUCCCAUUAAGGUUCAAAUACAUAGAGUAAAGAUGUCUUCAAUAUGGGUACCGAUACAGUUACAUAUGAGUGAGAUCAGAGGCAAAAGUCAUGUCAAUAAUAUCGUAAAUCAUUGAACAAACUUUCAUAUAAUUUCAAGAGAAAUGUGUACCAUCGCGAAGUCGCGCUUGUUGCUCCAUUGCUUGAAGACGGAAUUUCAGCUCAUUGUUCUGAUUUGUCUGCCCAAUCAUAUCUCUCUGUAUAAUGAUGCAGUAUAACUAAUAUCGUUAAAAACAAAAGACUAGACCGAUCAAGGCGCUGUUACAAUAUUGUAGACCACGCACCUGUAAAAGCGUGAGCUGAGCAGACAAUGUAGUGGCCUCGGUCUGGAGAGUCUGCACUUUGUGUUCCAAUUCGACUAUAUACCGCAUCUUCCUCUCCUUUGACCGUGCUGCUGAUUGACGGUUUGCCAAGAUUCUGAAAAUAGGAUCAUUGCAUAAACAUGGGAAAGCCGAUUAAAAAAAAAAACUGGUAACAUUAAUAAAAUUAUUCAAAAUACCUUUUGACACGCUUAGGGUCAGACAUGGCCAUCUCUGCUAGUUUAUCAUUAGCCAUGAUCUUCUUCAUUUCGGCUGCAGUAAAUUCACCGUUUUUAAACUCAAUGCUAAAAGCAGCACCCGAAUUCCCAUCAACUGAAUUGGUCGGGGAAACUUUCCGUGACAUAGUCCCGGGAGAAGGAGGCGGUUUAAGCGAUUCGUCACCAAAAGACAACUUCUCCAUGAAACAGCUGUCCACUGAAACACUCCUGUAAUGUCUGCUGGUGGGAGCAAUAUCACCUCCGGCAGCUCUUCUCUUGACGCUCUCUCUCUUUUCGCCGGAAGAAAUCAAAGUAUUGUUAUUAUUGGCAGUCUCAUUCACACUACUGCUCUCUCCUUCCGUAUCACUACCAUUGGUCUUGGUCCCGCUAGCUCUGCUGCUGUCCAUAUCAUCACGAUUCUCAUUACCGUUCCUGCUAUCGUCAGCUUCGGAGGAGUUCAAAACGUCAAUGUUUUCAAGAUUCAUAUAUGCAGAGAAGAGAUCAUCCAUGGCUUCUCUCUCCCCGACACCUUCCCUUUCGCAGGUGGAUUCCUUCUUGACAAAAGGAGAGGACUUUGACCAGUCAGCAGAUUCCCCACCAGAGACAGACCUCUCCAGUGGUCUGAAAGGGAGCGAAUUGUGGAGAAUGAUGGAACUAAAGCCAGUGGGAAUAUCACUGUUGGAGCGUCGAUGAGACUUUCUGGGAGGAAGGCUGUCGGGGAGCCUCAAGGAGCUAGAAGAGGUGGA
rnacentral:lncRNA from 1 species